rnacentral:lncRNA from 1 species
GGGGUAGGACGAUCAAUUGUGCUAACUUCUGUUUAUAAUGCGGUAUUAAUUGUUAGGGGAGGCUAGGGAUAGCAAGCCAGUAGUUAAUAUUAGGCUCUUUUCGCCGAGGGAUCGGGUUAAGGGGAGGCUAAGAAAGUCGCAUAACAAUUAAUUAAUCAAACUAAUAUUCAAGAGGAGUAGGUGAGAGAGAGAGGAUUAGAUGAAAUUGUAAACCCCCAACAACAUUCAUUCAUCCAUUGUUUUCUUUUGUCAAUUGAAUCAACUUUAUUUUGCAUGUUAAUAUUUUUGUUCUCAAAUCCAAUUUAUUAAUUUUUAUUUUCAAGUCUUAUUACUUUAAUUCACGCGAACCAGAAAGCCAUUCGAGUCUCUUGGGAAAACAAUACUUGGUCUUACCAUUUAUAUUACUUGUAC